UCAGUUUCGUAGGUGCGGAAGGGAUCAUUGUUGAGUUCAUUUUGAAUGGAUUGAGAAGAUAUAGUUUUGCCCAUCUAAAACAAGGUAGUAGUGUUUUAUAUUUGAUCUUUGAGAUGGAAUUCCUUUUGUUGCAUUCACCUUGUUUUCUUCGAAGUAAAAGAAGGAGAUGAGAAUUAUAAGAAUGACAUGAUUUAUGCCAAGGAUAGCUAUUGCUGAAGUGUAAUGCCUUAUUAUGGUUUAUGCCAAGGUUACUCUGCAAAGCGUUUGAAUGACUCUCGACAACGGAUAUCUUGGCUCUCGUGAUGAUGAAGAACGUAGCGAAAUGCGGCAUUUGGUGUGAAUUGCAGAAUCACGCGAACCAUCUAGUCUUUGAAUGCAAGUUGCGCUCGAGACCAUUGGGUCAAGGGCAUGUAUGUUUGGGUGUCUUGCAAUCGUGUCAUUAUGAAAACCAACUAUCUUAAAUAACAAGAUUAGCUAACGGUGGAUGUGGAAAUUGGCCCUCCGUUCUUUUGGUUUGCGGUUGGUCUAAAUGAUGGUUGUCGCUAGGCUUUCACAUGGUGAAUUGUGAAUAGAGUCAACGCAUUAAAUAUCUUGCUGUGUACAUGACUUCUAGCCCUGUUGUAUAAUAAUUGAAACCAUUAUCAAUUUUUACGUGAUUCGUAAGCUUGAACCAUGACCUCAAAAUCAUGCGGGGCCACCCGUGAKUUUAAGCAUUCAAG
rnacentral:rRNA from 1 species